UGCUGCUUUCUUCAUCUGAUCUUGUUCCACCUAUUAUCUCCUCCAUUUUCUCACAUCCUCUAACUGUAAUCUCUUCUAGGUUUACGAGGCUAAUCCAAGAAGAUGGAAUCAAGCUCUCCAUGUUGUCGCAAUUCCAUACUUCAAUUUGUUGGAGAGAAUCGCACAUCAGUUUUGCAUUACAAAUGCUUUUCAGUUUUGGUAACAACCUCAAUUCCAGUUUUCUUAACUUUGGGAGUUUGAAAUCGGUACUACUGCUGCUGCUUUCUUCAUCUGAUCUUGUUCCACCUAUUAUCUCCUCCAUUUUCUCACAUCCUCUAACUGAAAUCUCUUGUAGCGUUAAGAGGCAAAUCCAGGAAGGUGGAACCAAGCUCUCCAUGCUGUCGCAAUUCCAUACUUCAAUUUGUUGAAGAGAAUCGCACAUUAGUUUUGCACUACAAAUGCUUUUCAGUUCCGGUAAAUCUUUCAAUUCCAGUUUUCUUAACUUUGGAAGUUUGAAUUCAGUGGUGCUGCUGCUGCUUUCUUCAUCUGAUCUUGCUCCACCUAUUAUCUCCUCAAUUUUCUCACAUCUUCUAACUAAAAUCUCUUGUAGCUCUACGAGGCAUUUCCAAGAAGAUGGAACCAAGCUCUCCAUGCUAUCGCAAUUCCAUACUUCAAUUUGUUGGAGUGAAUCGCACAUCAAUUUUGCACUACAAAUGCUUUUCAGUUCCGGUAAAUCUUUCAAUUCUAGUUUUCUUAACUUUGGGAGUUUGAAUUCGGUACUGCUGCUGCUGCUUUCUUCAUCUGAUCUUGUUCCACCUAUUAUCUCCUUCAUUUUCUCACAUCCUCUAACUGAAAUCUCUACUAUGUUUACGAGGCAAAUCCAAGAAGAUGGAACCAAGCUCUCCAUGCUGUCGCAAUUCCAUACUUCAAUUUGUUUGAGAGAAUCGCACAUCAGUUUUGCACUACAAAUGCUUUUCAGUUUUGGUAACAACCUCAAUUCCAGUUUUCUUAACUUUGGGAGUUUGAAUUCGAUGCUGCUGCUGCUUUCUUCAUCUGAUCUUGUCCCACCUAUUAUCUCCUCCAUUUUCUCACAUCCUCUAACUGAAAUCUCUUCUAGGUUUACGAGGCAAAUCCAAGAAGAUGGAACCAAGCUCUCCAUGUUGUCGCAAUUCCAUACUUCAAUUUGUUUGAGAGAAUCACACAUCAGUUUUGCACUACAAAUGCUUUUCAGUUCUGGUAAAUCUUUCAAUUUCAGUUUUCUUAACUUUGGGAGUUUGAAUUCGGUACUACUGCUGCUGCUUUCUUCAUCUGAUCUUGUCCCACCUAUUAUGUCCUCCAUUUUCUCACAUCCUCUAACUGAAAUCUCUUCUAUGUUUACGAGGCAAAUCCAAGAAGAUGGAACCAAGCUCUCCAUGCUGUCGCAAUUCCAUACUUCAAUUUGUUUGAGAGAAUCGCACAUCAAUUUUGCACUACAAAUGCUUUUCAGUUUCGGUAAAUCUUUCAAUUCCAGUUUUCUUAACUUUGGGAGUUUGAAUUCGGUACUACUGCUGCUGCUUUCUUCAUCUGAUCUUGUUCCACCUAUUAUCUCCUCCAUUUUCUCACAUCCUAUAACUGUAAUCUCUUCUAGGUUUAUGAGGCAAAUCCAAGAAGAUGGAACCAAGCUCUCCAUGUUGUCGCAAUUCCAUACUUUAAUUUGUUUGAGAGAAUCGCACAUCAGUUUUGCACUACAAAUGCUUUUCAGUUCCGGUAAAUCUUUUAAUUCCAGUUUUCUUAACUUUGGGAGUUUGAAUUCGGUACUGCUGCUGCUGCUUUCUUCAUCUGAUCUUGUUCCACCUAUUAUCUCCUCCAUUUUCUCACAUCCUAUAACUGUAAUCUCUUCUAGGUUUAUGAGGUUUGGCAGCAAGACAAAAGGGCACAACUUCUUCAUACUACUACAUCCAGAGCAAAAGAGCUUUUGAAGACAAGAAAAUACACCAUUAUAAGAUGGCAAUGGUGUUGGAGAAGGGCAAAACCAAAAAGAUGAAACCAAGCUCUCCAUGCUAUUGCAAUCCUUAAUGCGGAUAACCUCCAGUUCAAUUGAAUGCUCUAUCAGAGAGGAAACAUCACAUGAACAUUUAUAAAUAUACAGUUGUUGAAUGUCAUUUGGG
rnacentral:lncRNA from 1 species